AAGGUGGGUGGGUGUGUUGCAAGCCAGUUGUUAUUACCCUGUGUUAGUGAGCAUGUGGAGAGAAAGUUAGAAUGUGCCUUUAGAAUUGUCAGUGGGACCCCUCAGACGACCUUGGUGUGAAGUGACCUAGGAAGUCAGGGGAGUAGAUGUGUUGCAGGCAUCCUGUUGGGAUAAGUGGGCAUUGGUCAUUGUGCUUUGUGUGUAGGUGCCCGUCACCUGCGGUGCACUUGAAUGUCUUUCGAGAGCUUCGAGUUGCAUGCAUGGCGAGUUCCAGCACAGGUAGGUAGGUGGCUGUGUGGGAGGACACAGAUAGAAGGAUCCAUGUGUGAAAAUGACUUGGGGACCUUGGAGGAAGGAAGGAGAGAGAAUUGUGGUGUCCCCCUUCCCUCUCCCGUGCUGUCUGCUGGUUGGUAAAGGGCUGGGGUGUAGUGGAGGUGGGGUGGAGAAUUUAGGGAGAGGAGAGAUACUGUAGGGAGCAGGACUUACCUCAUAAUGGUUGCCUGGUUGCCUGGUUACCUGGCCAUGCUUACUUAGUUGGAGCUGAGAAUCGGGGGCCUGGUAGCCACAGUUGCAGGUUGGGCUGGAAUAAUUGUUCCUUCUCUUGAUGUGUCCUUGUUCUCAGGUCAGGUUGAUAUGGCUAGGCGGCCUGCUGGCGAGAUAGUGGGAGUGGGCGGCCCGCCCCUCAGGACCUCUGACCUGGACAGAUGACUGGAUGACUCUCUGGGGCAGCAUUCACCGGAACUCAUAUGGAGAGGACUGCCUGAGAAACCAACCUGUGUGCCUGGGUCAGGUUGAUAUGGCUAGGCGGCCUGCUGGCGAGAUAGUGGGAGUGGGCGGUCCGCCCCUCAGGACCUCUGACUUGGACAGAUGACUGGAUGACUCUCUGGGGCAGCAUUCACCGGAACUCAUAUGGAGGGGGCUGCCUGAGA
rnacentral:lncRNA from 1 species